UUACAGCCAGGUCCCCAUCACCUUUAGCCUGGAUCACUCUGAUGCUACUUACAGCCAGGUCCCCAUCACCUUUACCCUGGAUCACUCUGAUUCUACUUACAGCCAGGUCCCCAUCACCUUUAGCCUGGAUCACUCUGAUGCUACUUACAGCCAGGUCCCCAUCACCUUUAGUCUGGAUCACUCUGAUGCUACUUACAGCCAGGUCCCCAUCACCUUUAGCCUGGAUCACUCUGAUGCUACUUACAGCCAGGUCCCCAUCACCUUUAGCCUGGAUCACUCUGAUGCUACUUACAGCCAGGUCCCCAUCACCUUUAGCCUGGAUCACUCUGAUUCUACUUACAGCCAGGUCCCCAUCACCUUUAGCCUGGAUCACUCUGAUGCUACUUACACCCAGAUCCUCCCUCACCUUUAGUCUGGAUCACUCAGCUCCUACUUACACCCAGAUCCUCCCUCACCUUUAGUCUGGAUCACUCAUCUCCUACUUACACCCAGAUCCUCCCUCACCUUUAGUCUGGAUCACUCAGCUCCUACUU
ensembl:lncRNA